rnacentral:rRNA from 1 species
GUCGUGGGGGAUAACUCUCCCAAAGUAGAGCUAAUUCCCCAUAGUUCCUGCGGGAAAAAGCGGGGGACCUGCCUGGGCCUCGCGGGAUUGGAUCGUCCUAUAUCAGAUUAUCUGGUUGGUGGGGUAAAGGCUCACUAAGGCGACCAUCCGUAUAGGGUCUGACAGGACAACCCUCCACUCUGGAACUGAGACACGGUUCAGACUCCUACGGAAGGCAGCAGUGGGGAAUUUUGGAUAAUGGGGGCAACCCUGAUCCAUCCAUUCCGCGUGAGUGAAUAAGGCCUUCGGGUUGUAACGCUCUUUCAGCAGGAACGAAAUGGUCGGAUUUAAUACGGUCGGCUAUUGACUGUACCUGCAGAAAAAGCACCGUUUAACUAC